UUAAGCGACCAAGCGUACACGGUGGAUGCCCUGGCAGUCAGAGGCGAUGAAGGACGUGCUAAUCUGCGAAAAGCGCCGGUAAGGUGAUAUGAACCGUUAUAACCGGCGAUGUCCGAAUGGGGAAACCCAGUGUGACUCGUCACACUAUCAUUAACUGAAUCCAUAGGUUAAUGAGGCGAACCGGGGGAACUGAAACAUCUAAGUACCCCGAGGAAAAGAAAUCAACCGAGAUUCCCCCAGUAGCGGCGAGCGAACGGGGAGGAGCCCAGAGCCUGAAUCAGCAUAUGUGUUAGUGGAAGCGUCUGGAAAGGCGCGCGAUACAGGGUGACAGCCCCGUACACAAAAGCGCAUAUGCUGUGAGCUCGAUGAGUAGGGCGGGACACGUGGUAUCCUGUCUGAAUAUGGGGGGACCAUCCUCCAAGGCUAAAUACUCCUGACUGACCGAUAGUGAACCAGUACCGUGAGGGAAAGGCGAAAAGAACCCCGGCGAGGGGAGUGAAACAGAACCUGAAACCGUGUACGUACAAGCAGUGGGAGCCCCACCACCAAAGCGUUUCGCUUUGCGUGGUGCGCAAAAUGCGUAACGACAGCACGAUUGCGGUUAACGGAGCGUAAGCGACGUUCAACACAAGAAUCAGGCAGUGGAGCGUUUUGGGGUGGGGUGACUGCGUACCUUUUGUAUAAUGGGUCAGCGACUUAUAUUCUGUAGCAAGGUUAACCGAAUAGGGGAGCCGCAGGGAAACCGAGUCUUAACCGGGCGUUAAGUUGCAGGGUAUAGACCCGAAACCCGGUGAUCUAGCCAUGGGCAGGUUGAAGGUUGGGUAACACUAACUGGAGGACCGAACCGACUAAUGUUGAAAAAUUAGCGGAUGACCUGUGGCUGGGGGUGAAAGGCCAAUCAAACCGGGAGAUAGCUGGUUCUCCCCGAAAGCUAUUUAGGUAGCGCCUCGUGAAUUCAUCUCCGGGGGUAGAGCACUGUUUCGGCCAGGGGGCCAUCCCGGCUUACCAACCCGAUGCAAACUGCGAAUACCGGAGAAUGUUAUCACGGGAGACACACGGCGGGUGCUAACGUCCGUCGUGAAGAGGGAAACAACCCAGACCGCCAGCUAAGGUCCCAAAGUCAUGGUUAAGUGGGAAACGAUGUGGGAAGGCCCAGACAGCCAGGAUGUUGGCUUAGAAGCAGCCAUCAUUUAAAGAAAGCGUAAUAGCUCACUGGUCGAGUCGGCCUGCGCGGAAGAUGUAACGGGGCUAAACCAUGCACCGAAGCUGCGGCAGCGACACUGUGUGUUGUUGGGUAGGGGAGCGUUCUGUAAGCCUGUGAAGGUGUGUCGUGAGGCAUGCUGGAGGUAUCAGAAGUGCGAAUGCUGACAUAAGUAACGAUAAUGCGGGUGAAAAACCCGCACGCCGGAAGACCAAGGGUUCCUGUCCAACGUUAAUCGGGGCAGGGUGAGUCGACCCCUAAGGCGAGGCCGAAAGGCGUAGUCGAUGGGAAACAGGUUAAUAUUCCUGUACCUGGUGUUACUGCGAAGGGGGGACGGAGAAGGCUAUGUUGGCCGGGCGACGGUUGUCCCGGUUUAAGCGUGUAGGCUGGUUUUCCAGGCAAAUCCGGAAAAUCAAGGCUGAGGCGUGAUGACGAGGCACUACGGUGCUGAAGCAACAAAUGCCCUGCUUCCAGGAAAAGCCUCUAAGCCUCAGGUAACAUCAGAUCGUACCCGAAACCGACACAGGUGGUCAGGUAGAGAAUACCAAGGCGCUUGAGAGAACCCGGGUGAAGGAACUAGGCAAAAUGGUGCCGUAACUUCGGGAGAAGGCACGCUGACACGUAGGUGAAGCGGUUUACCCGUGGAGCUGAAGUCAGUCGAAGAUACCAGCUGGCUGCAACUGUUUAUUAAAAACACAGCACUGUGCAAACACGAAAGUGGACGUAUACGGUGUGACGCCUGCCCGGUGCCGGAAGGUUAAUUGAUGGGGUCAGCGCAAGCGAAGCUCCUGAUCGAAGCCCCGGUAAACGGCGGCCGUAACUAUAACGGUCCUAAGGUAGCGAAAUUCCUUGUCGGGUAAGUUCCGACCUGCACGAAUGGCGUAAUGAUGGCCAGGCUGUCUCCACCCGGGACUCAGUGAAAUUGAACUCGCUGUGAAGAUGCAGUGUACCCGCGGCAAGACGGAAAGACCCCGUGAACCUUUACUAUAGCUUGACACUGAACACUGGUCCUUGAUGUGCAGGAUAGGUGGGAGGCUUUGAAGUGUGGACGCCAGUCUGCAUGGAGCCGUCCUUGAAAUACCACCCUUUAAUGGCUGGUGUUCUAACGUAGACCCGUGAACCGGGUUGCGGACAGUGUCUGGUGGGUAGUUUGACUGGGGCGGUCUCCUCCUAAAGCGUAACGGAGGAGCACGAAGGUUGGCUAAUCCUGGUCGGACAUCAGGAGGUUAGUGCAAUGGCAUAAGCCAGCUUGACUGCGAGCGUGACGGCGCGAGCAGGUGCGAAAGCAGGUCAUAGUGAUCCGGUGGUUCUGAAUGGAAGGGCCAUCGCUCAACGGAUAAAAGGUACUCCGGGGAUAACAGGCUGAUACCGCCCAAGAGUUCAUAUCGACGGCGGUGUUUGGCACCUCGAUGUCGGCUCAUCACAUCCUGGGGCUGAAGUAGGUCCCAAGGGUAUGGCUGUUCGCCAUUUAAAGUGGUACGCGAGCUGGGUUUAGAACGUCGUGAGACAGUUCGGUCCCUAUCUGCCGUGGGCGCUGGAGAACUGAGGGGGGCUGCUCCUAGUACGAGAGGACCGGAGUGGACGCAUCACUGGUGUUCGGGUUGUCAUGCCAAUGGCACUGCCCGGUAGCUAAAUGCGGAAGAGAUAAGUGCUGAAAGCAUCUAAGCACGAAACUUGCCCUGAGAUGAGUUCUCCCUGAGACUACAAGUCUCCUGAAGGAACGUUGAAGACGACGACGUUGAUAGGCCGGGUGUGUAAGCGCAGCGAUGCGUUGAGCUAACCGGUACUAAUGAACCGUGAGGCUUAACCUU
rnacentral:rRNA from 1 species